GGGUGAGUAGGUGAAAUAGAUGAAGGCGAUAAAGAGUUUUCCACAGGAAAACAAAUCCAUAAAUUGGUCCAUAUGGUAGUCAGCUUCCAGAGUAACCCCUGUGAUCCUGGCUUCCAGGUGUUCACGCCCCUCCCACACCUGUGAAACCAACAGGAAACUGUGGAAGUGACUAUGUAGAUUUCUGAGGCUCCAUCAUAAAAGACACUGAGGCUUCCCCUUGUUCUUCUGCAUCACUUCCUUUGGGGAAGGCUGCCACCAUGUUGCGGGAAUGCUCCACAGUCCUGGGGAAGAGCCAGCACCCACCUGCGUGGACUGUCCUCCUUGGAAGUGGAUCUAAGCCUUCAGAUGACUGUAGCCCUGGCCAACCAUCUUCACUGAAACCUUGUGAGAAACUGAGUCAGAACUAACUCAACCACUCCCCAAUUCCUAGCACUCAGAAACUGUCAAAUAAAGGUCCCAGGCCAGAGUCACCAGCUCUGAAAGAAUGCGGCCAUGGCCCCUCUGCAGGGCUUCGGACCACAGAGAGGCAGCUCCACUUGACCACACCCCUGCCCAGCAGGUCAGGUUUCUUCCCUGGGAGGCAAAG